UAACCUGCCCAAGAGAUCGGGAUAACACCUGGAAACAGAUGCUAAUACCGGAUAACAACAGAUGAUGCCUAUCAACUGUUUAAAAGAUGGUUCUGCUAUCACUCUUGGAUGGACCUGCGGUGCAUUAGCUAGUUGGUAGGGUAACGGCCUACCAAGGCGAUGAUGCAUAGCCGAGUUGAGAGACUGAUCGGCCACAUUGGAACUGAGACACGGCCCAAACUCCUACGGGAGGCAGCAGCU
rnacentral:rRNA from 1 species